rnacentral:rRNA from 1 species
UGGCGGACGGGUGAGUAACGCGUGGGUAACCUGCCUCAUACAGGGGGAUAACAGUUAGAAAUGACUGCUAAUACCGCAUAAGACCACAGUACCGCAUGGUACAGGGGUAAAAACUCCGGUGGUAUGAGAUGGACCCGCGUCUGAUUAGGUAGUUGGUGGGGUAACGGCCUACCAAGCCAACGAUCAGUAGCCGACCUGAGAGGGUGACCGGCCACAUUGGGACUGAGACACGGCCCAG